AACGAACGCUGGCGGCGUGGAUAAGACAUGCAAGUCGAACGGGAUUUUUUUCUGUAGCAAUACAGAAAAAAGUCUAGUGGCGAACGGGUGCGUAACACGUGAGCAACCUACCGUGAAGUGGGGGAUAGCUCGCCGAAAGGCGAAUUAAUACCGCAUGUGGCCAAGGAAGACAUCUUCCUGACGCCAAAGCCGGGGUAACCUGGCGCUUCUCGAGGGGCUCGCGGCCUAUCAGCUUGUUGGUGAGGUAACGGCUCACCAAGGCUAUGACGGGUAGCUGGUCUGAGAGGACGACCAGCCACACUGGAACUGAGACACGGUCCAGACANCUACGGGUGGCAGCAGUCGAGAAUUUUUCACAAUGGGGGAAACCCUGAUGGAGCGACGCCGCGUGGAGGAUGAAGGUUUUCGGAUCGUAAACUCCUGUCAUUAGAGAACAAGGCACAUGGUUUAACUGACUGUGUGUUGAUAGUAUCUGAAGAGGAAGGGACGGCUAACUCUGUGCCAGCAGCCGCGGUAAUACAGAGGUCUCAAGCGUUGUUCGGAUUCAUUGGGCGUAAAGGGUGCGUAGGUGGCGAGGUAAGUCGGAUGUGAAAUCUCCAAGCUCAACUUGGAAACUGCAUUCGAUACUGCUUUGCUAGAGGAUUGUAGAGGGCAUUGGAAUUCACGGUGUAGCAGUGAAAUGCGUAGAUAUCGUGAGGAAGACCAGUGGCGAAGGCGAAUGCCUGGGCAAUUCCUGACACUGAGGCACGAAGGCCAGGGGAGCAAACGGGAUUAGAUACCCCGGUAGUCCUGGCAGUAAACGGUGCACGUUUGGUGUGGGAGGAUUCGACCCCUUCCGUGCCGGAGCUAACGCGUUAAACGUGCCGCCUGGGGAGUACGGUCGCAAGAUUAAAACUCAAAGAAAUUGACGGGGACCCGCACAAGCGGUGGAGUAUGUGGCUUAAUUCGAUGCAACGCGAAGAACCUUACCUGGCCUUGACAUGCAUCUCUAAUCCGGUGAAAGCCGGUGAGUGUAGCAAUACACAAUUUGCACAGGUGCUGCAUGGCUGUCGUCAGCUCGUGUCGUGAGAUGUUGGGUUAAGUCCCGCAACGAGCGCAACCCCUGUGAACUGUUGCCAUGGAGACGUGAGUCUCCGGCACUCUGUUCAGACUGCCCUGUUCAACGGGGAGGAAGGUGGGGACGACGUCAAGUCAGUAUGGCCUUACGGCCAGGGCUGCACACGUACUACAAUGCCCGACACAGAAGGAUCCGAGACCGCAAGGUGGAGGAAAUCACCAAAGUCGGGCCCAGUUCGGAUUGGAGGCUGCAACUCGCCUCCAUGAAGCCGGAAUCGCUAGUAAUGGCGCAUCAGCUACGGCGCCGUGAAUACGUUCCCGGGUCUUGUACACACCGCCCGUCACAUCAUGGGAGUCGUUUGUACCCGAAGUGCGCGCGCCAACCGCAAGGAGGCAGCGCCCUAAGGUAUGAGCGGUAACUGGGAUG
rnacentral:rRNA from 1 species